rnacentral:sRNA from 1 species
GUGGUAGUCCCCGAGCAGCCCUGAAGGAGAAUCUGUCCAGACGUCCAUCAGCUAAGGGAGUGAAAAUGUACUAUACGGUGGGGCCAUUCCAUGCAUUAUGACUCAGUGUAAGAUAAUCCAUGCAAGCAUUUACUUACUUACUCAAAAUAUCUGUGACACAAUCACAUUAUGGGGAGAAAAACUGUUCAUUUGUAUCCUGGGUAUGGAGAUUUCCUAUGAUUCUGUUCCAAUAGCCUUGGGCACGAAGUCAUUCAAGUUAAGGUAAAGAGAGCUGCUAUUAGAAGAAGCUGCACACUUUGGGGGCAAGCCUGAAACAGUGGCCAAGAACAGAGUCUAAUCCACCACCAACAUAUGAUCCUUUGCUGGGAAACAAGCCUGCUCUACACAGCCUUGGGAACGAGCUAAGCCAGAUUGGGGAAUAAGGCAAGGACCAUGAUUCUAUGUUGGUUUAUGGGAGGACAGCACAACACUGACUGAGUUGUUUAUAGGCUAUAGGCUAUGCCUGCUAUGUACAUAUCCCACUCAACAUUUGUUUUUAUGCCUUCAGAGAAUCCUGGGGGGUCUUUAUAUUAAGGAUUACCUCAGAAAGUAAACACUUGACUGCAAUGUACUAUGCUUAUAUUGUGUGAACACACAUGUGUUCUGUGUUUGGGAGUGUGUAUUAGUGUUUCUGUGUGUCUGUGUGUGUUUGUAUGUGCACACAGGUAUGCAUGCCUCCACUGACAUUACACUCAUCUAAUGACCAGAAUAAGGAAGGAUUAGAGGAAACAAUGCAGGACACUCUGAAGCAGAGAGAACUGAUCACCCAGGAAAGUGACUUGGGAGAAACAGUGUAGAAGAAUUGUGACAUCUUUGAGAUCAGUACUGUGCAUAGUCCACAGUUCGAUUUCUAGCUGUUUUUAAAAGCUGAUAUAUAAAUCGAAGCCCAUUUACUCUAUGACACUUGGGGAUGCAGGAAAUGACCUCAGUUGACAGGUAAUGCUGGAUUGUCCAACCGAAUAGAGCUGACGUAAGAGGGAGAGCUGAAUCAACAAACCCUCACUAAUCCUUUUUUCCCUUGCUCUGCUAGGUCUAAAAUUCUCCAGCGAAACUCGAACAUGGCAUAGACCAGAACAAGAUCUCCCUUGGAGAGCAGUGCCACAGGAGGAGUCUAAGUGUGCACAACAAAUACACCACUAUUACAUCGCAUCCUUAAUAUCCAUAGCAGUUGUGGGCUGCAUUUUCCUACUUUAGUUUGAUUUCUUUGGAUUGAAUAGGCCAUACUUUCAUCUCGGCUCUCCCGAGCAAGCGUGCACAUUUGAAGAAGCGUGCACAGAGAAGAGCUGAUGCACAUCAAUCGAGAACUGCUGAGCAUCCAGGAAGAGUGUGCACAUGUACAUUUGUACUUGUCCUGAAGGGUCACCCAGAAGAGUUUCAUGGAGAUCAGUCCACAACAUUGGAAAAACUUUGAGUCAAAGACUGUCAUAUGUUUUAUACUCAGUAUUGGAUGGCUUUGUCCUUCAUACCCUCACUCCAACAAGGCAGACCUACUUACAUUCCCCUUGAAAAGAUUAUUACCAUCAGUAACUGCUUGUCUACUGUGUUUCCAAGGCAAGUCAUUGGCUAUAAGUCAAUUCUGCAAACGAGCAUCAAAAGAAUGCUUAGGACAAUUCCUCUGUUUACAUUUUGGUUUGACUUUUGAUUACUUUGGUUAUUUGGUUUUCCUUAUAUUCAUUUGAAGUUUUGUUAUUUAUUCAUUGUUGUUUUGUUCAUUCAUUUGAUUUGCUAUUUUGAUAAGGAUACAAACUGUAUAUAUUGACUACCUGCAUCUGGAUACUAUUGAUGUAUUCUGGUGAAUAAAAGAGUGAUCUCAAA